rnacentral:rRNA from 1 species
ACUUAGUGGCGGUUUGGUGAGUAACGCGUGGAUAACCUGCCUUACACUGGGGGAUAACACUUAGAAAUAGGUGCUAAUACCGCAUAAGCGCACGGAGCCGCAUGGCUCAGUGUGAAAAACUCCGGUGGUGUAAGAUGGAUCCGCGUCUGAUUAGCUGGUUGGCGGGGUAGAAGCCCACCAAGGCGACGAUCAGUAGCCGGCCUGAGAGGGUGACCGGCCACAUUGGGACUGAGACACGGCCCAAACUCCUACGGGAGGCAGCAGUGGGGAAUAUUGCACAAUGGGGGAAACCCUGAUGCAGCAACGCCGCGUGAGUGAAGAAGUCAUUUGUGAUGUAAAGCUCUAUCAGCAGGGAAGAAAAUGACGGUACCUGAGUAAGAAGCCCCGGCUAACUACGUGCCAGCAGCCGCGGUAAUACGUAGGGGGCAAGCGUUAUCCGGAUUUACUGGGUGUAAAGGGAGCGUAGACGGCCAGACAAGUCUGAAGUGAAAAUCCAGCGCUUAACGUUGGAAGUGCUUUGGAAACUGCCGGGCUAGAGUGCAGGAGGGGCAGGCGGAAUUCCUAGUGUAGCGGUGAAAUGCGUAGAUAUUAGGAGGAACACCAGUGGCGAAGGCGGCCUGCUGGACUGCAACUGACGUUGAGGCUCGAAGGCGUGGGGAGCAAACAGGAUUAGAUACCCUGGUAGUCCACGCGGUAAACGAUGAUUACUAGGUGUCGGGGGGCUAGAGCCCUUCGGUGCCGUCGCAAACGCAAUAAGUAAUCCACCU